rnacentral:sRNA from 1 species
GAUACAAGGGUUACAAAGUAAUGCAUAUUUCUGCUUGCAUGAAUAUGCAUUACCUUGCAAGCCGAACAAGCAUGAGGAAGCAGCUAUUUUUCAAAGAAAAAUGAGCGAUUCCGAAUGAUUGUAGUAUUGCGGGAGCACGAAGUGCAGAGCAAUACGUAGUAU